rnacentral:rRNA from 1 species
UAUGUAGCAAUACAUGGCGUACUGCUCAGUAACACGUGGAUAACCUGCCCUUGGGUCCGGCAUAACCCCGGGAAACUGGGGAUAAUUCCGGAUAACGCACAUAUGCUGGAAUGCUUUAUGCGUAAAAUGGAUUCGUCUGCCCAAGGAUGGGUCUGCGGCCUAUCAGGUAGUAGUGGGUGUAAUGUACCUACUAGCCGACGACGGGUACGGGUUGUGAGAGCAAGAGCCCGGAGAUGGAUUCUGAGACAUGAAUCCAGGCCCUACGGGGCGCAGCAGGCGCGAAAACUUUACAAUGCGGGAAACCGUGAUAAGGGGACACCGAGUGCCAGCAUCAUAUGCUGGCUGUCCAGAUGUGUAAAAUACAUCUGUUAGCAAGGGCCGGGCAAGACCGGUGCCAGCCGCCGCGGUAACACCGGCGGCCCGAGUGGUGAUCGUGAUUAUUGGGUCUAAAGGGUCCGUAGCCGGUUUGGUCAGUCCUCCGGGAAAUCUGAUAGCUCAACUAUUAGGCUUUCGGGGGAUACUGCCAGACUUGGAACCGGGAGAGGUAAGAGGUACUACAGGGGUAGGAGUGAAAUCUUGUAAUCCCUGUGGGACCACCUGUGGCGAAGGCGUCUUACCAGAACGGGUUCGACGGUGAGGGACGAAAGCUGGGGGCACGAACCGGAUUAGAUACCCGGGUAGUCCCAGCCGUAAACGAUGCUCGCUAGGUGUCAGACAUGGCGCGACCGUGUCUGGUGCCGCAGGGAAGCCGUGAAGCGAGCCACCUGGGAAGUACGGCCGCAAGGCUGAUACUUA